ACCAGGAUGGCCGAGUGGUUAAGGCGUUGGACUUAAGAUCCAAUGGGCAUGUAAGCCCUCGUGGGUUCAAACCCCACUCCUGGUA